rnacentral:rRNA from 1 species
AUUGAACGCUGGCGGCAUGCCUUACACAUGCAAGUCGAACGGUAACAGGUCUUCGGAUGCUGACGAGUGGCGAACGGGUGAGUAAUGCAUCAGAACGUGCCCAGUUGUGGGGGAUAACUGCUCGAAAGAGUAGCUAAUACCGCAUACGGCCUGAGGGUUAAAGCGGGGGAUCGGAAGAACUCCAGCAAUUGGAGCGGCAGAUGUCAGAUUAGGUAGUCGGUGGGGUAAAGGCCUACCAAGCCGACGAUCUGUAGUUGGUCUGAGAGGACGACCAGCCACACUGGGACUGAGAAACGGCCCAGACUCCUACGGGAGGCAGCAGUGGGGAAUUUUGGACAAUGGGCGCAAGCCUGAUCCAGCAAUGCCGCGUGCAGGAAGAAGGCCUUCGGGUUGUAAACUGCUUUUGUCAGGGAAGAAAUCCUCUGGGUUAAUACCCCGGGGGGAUGACGGUACCUGAAGAAUAAGCACCGGCUAACUACGUGCCAGCCGCCGCCGUAACAC